UCCUGUCUUUAUAGUGUAUUCAACUGAAUUUGGGUUGAAAAGGAUUUGCAAAUCAUUGUAUUCCGUUUAUAUUUACAUCUAACACAAUUUCCCAACUCAUAUGGAAACGGGGUUUGUAGUUUGCUCUUGUGUCUGUUUAUAAAUCGUAAAAUAAAAAUAAAAACUACCCAAAUGUCUCGGUUAAUUAAAAUGAUUAGUAUGCAGUGCAAAAAAUAUCUAAAAACUGCCCUGUACGAAAGAAAAACAAAAAAGAGCAAAUAUUUUUUACAUCAUUUUGAAAAAGAAAAAAUGUAUACAUAUUUUCGUAUGAUUUACAUAAUGUUUAAAUAACAUAUUUACAACAUAUAAUAAUACAAAAAUGUGCACACAUGCCAAUCAAUUAUGCUUAGGAUGUUUUUGUUUCAGACAUGACGUUUGUUCCUUUCAACCCAUUUCUCUGUUUCAGCAGAGCCACCUGGCCUUUUUUAGUCGGGGAACUUUAUGGCGACAGCUGUGGUUCUACUCCGAUACCACAAAUUCCAAACAUUGCUGACAUCCAGAAGGCCAGUCAUAAUCACAUUGCUUUUGCAGCCAGACUCUUGCACUUUCUGGUUCUUUGAGAGCUGGAACACAAUGACUGGAUUGAGUUAACCUUUGCAUGCGGGACCAACAGGAGUUCCCCUUUAAGAUAAUGACUUUCGACUGACGCAUCAAGAUGACGCUUUAAAGGUUAGUUGCCCCUCUCUGUGGUUAGUUAGUACGUUCUGUGUGUGACCGAGCAAGCAUGCAGAAACAAAUACACAAUGUUCUUGUGUGCACAGUACAAACUGUUCCUUUAUUGUGACAAUAAAGCCAUAUUCACAAGAGUACAUUGAGGAAGCUGCCUUAAGUGUGAUUUAAAAAUAUAGAACGGAAGGGAAAACAAUGAAGUGAAUGAAAAGCUCAUUUUUUUCCAAUUGUUUCUAGAAUGACAUCAAUGAAUAUACAAUAUGCAAAUGACUACAAUGUGACACGAGCCAUUUCAUUAGGCACACAAUCAUACUUGUUGCAUGUUAAUAAAUAUGCUCAAACAAUACAAAUACUUGAUUCACAUCCGAAUCGCAAUUCUUAUUUAAUCCGAUUCCAAAUCGAUUCAUACCUUUUAAAUAUAUCUAUAUAUAUUUUUUGAAUACAUUUUUAAAAAGACGUUUGAGGCAAUCUCCACGUUGACUCUCUGCUGCGCGUACACGCCAUCAACCAAAAGGAGAUUUUUAAACCUGUUUUAUUGUAAAUACUGUACCAAAUAGUACAUGGCGAGAGUCUGUUUGAAUCGCAAAUCGAUUCUAAUUUGACUCAUGAGGUGACAAAUGUUCCCGCCCAAUAAAUGUAUAUACUUAAACCAAUCCAAUGACGGCCAAUAUAUGCUGAGUUAUCGAAAAUAAACAUUUAACUUUUAUGUUAUUAGUAACAAAAUCAAUUAGUGGAAUAUCUAAUAAUAAAUCUCAUAAUGAAUUAAUUACAUUUUUAGAAUAUGAUGAGGGCCAAAAAAAAAAUAGCUUUUUACCCGAAAA